rnacentral:rRNA from 1 species
UAAAGAUCCAUCGCUGAUAGAUAGGCAUGCGUUCCAUUAGGCAGUUGGCGGGGUAACGGCCCACCAAACCGACGAUGGAUAGGGGUUCUGAGAGGAAGGUCCCCCACAUUGGUACUGAGACACGGACCAAACUCCUACGGGAGGCAGCAGUGAGGAAUAUUGGUCAAUGGGCGUAAGCCUGAACCAGCCAAGUCGCGUGAGGGAUGAAGGUUCUAUGGAUCGUAAACCUCUUUUAUAAGGGAAUAAAGUGUGGGACGUGUCCUAUUUUGUAUGUACCUUAUGAAUAAGGAUCGGCUAACUCCGUGCCAGCAGCCGCGGUAAUACGGAGGAUCCGAGCGUUAUCCGGAUUUAUUGGGUUUAAAGGGUGCGUAGGCGGCCUUUUAAGUCAGCGGUGAAAGUCUGUGGCUCAACCAUAGAAUUGCCGUUGAAACUGGGGGGCUUGAGUAUGUUUGAGGCAGGCGGAAUGCGUGGUGUAGCGGUGAAAUGCUUAGAUAUCACGCAGAACCCCGAUUGCGAAGGCAGCCUGCCAAGCCAUGACUGACGCUGAUGCACGAAAGCGUGGGGAUCAAACAGGAUUAGAUACCCUGGUAGUCCACGCAGUAAACGAUGAUCACUAGCUGUUUGCGAUA